UGGGGGAAUUUUGGACAAUGGGCGAAAGCCUGAUCCAGCAAUGCCGCGUGUGUGAAGAAGGCCUUCGGGUUGUAAAGCACUUUUGUCCGGAAAGAAAUCCUUGGCUCUAAUACAGUCGGGGGAUGACGGUACCGGAAGAAUAAGCACCGGCUAACUACGUGCCAGCAGCCGCGGUAAUACGUAGGGUGCAAGCGUUAAUCGGAAUUACUGGGCGUAAAGCGUGCGCAGGCGGUUUGCUAAGACCGAUGUGAAAUCCCCGGGCUCAACCUGGGAACUGCAUUGGUGACUGGCAGGCUAGAGUAUGGCAGAGGGGGGUAGAAUUCCACGUGUAGCAGUGAAAUGCGUAGAGAUGUGGAGGAAUACCGAUGGCGAAGGCAGCCCCCUGGGGCCAAAUACUGACGCUCAUGCACGAAAGCGUGGGGGAGCAAACAGGAUUAGAUACCCUGGUAGUCCACGCCCUAAACGAUGUCAACUAGUUGUUGGGGAUUCAUUUCCUUAGUAACGUAGCUAACGCGUGAAGUUGACCGCCUGGGGAGUACGGUCGCAAGAUUAAAACUUAAAUGAAUUGAC
rnacentral:rRNA from 1 species